CGCACGAGAAAUCCUGGGCAACCGGGAAAGUAAAGUGGCGCACGGGUGAGUAACGCGUGGGUAACCUGCCUUUGAGUUGGGGAUAACCCCGCGAAAGCGGGGCUAAUACCGAAUGAUAUUUCAGUUUCCACGGAAAUUGAAAUCAAAGAUGGCCUCUGCAUGCAAGCUAUUGCUCAUGGAUGGGCCCGCGUACCAUUAGCUUGUUGGUAGGGUAAUGGCCUACCAAGGCAACGAUGGUUAGCUGGUCUGAGAGGAUGGCCAGCCACACUGGAACUGAGACACGGUCCAGACUCCUACGGGAGGCAGCAGUGGGGAAUCUUGCGCAAUGGGGGAAACCCUGACGCAGCAACGCCGCGUGGGUGAUGAAGGCCUUCGGGUCGUAAAGCCCUGUCAGGUGGGAAGAAACAUGCCGAUAUGAAUAAUGUCGGCACUUGACGGUACCACCGGAGGAAGCACCGGCUAACUCCGUGCCAGCAGCCGCGGUAAUACGGAGGGUGCAAGCGUUGUUCGGAAUUAUUGGGCGUAAAGCGCGCGUAGGCGGUCGGGUAAGUCAGAUGUGAAAGCCUUCCGCUCAACGGAAGAAGUGCAUUUGAAACUGCCCGGCUAGAGUACGGGAGAGGAGAGUGGAAUUCCCGGUGUAGAGGUGAAAUUCGUAGAUAUCGGGAGGAACACCAGUGGCGAAGGCGGCUCUCUGGUCCGAUACUGACGCUGAGACGCGAAAGCGUGGGGAGCAAACAGGAUUAGAUACCCUGGUAGUCCACGCCGUAAACGAUGGGCACUAGGUGUAGGAGGUAUUGACCCCUUCUGUGCCGAAGCUAACGCAUUAAGUGCCCCGCCUGGGGAGUACGGCCGCAAGGUUAAAACUUAAAUGAAUUGACGG
rnacentral:rRNA from 1 species